GACGAACCGUGCGAACGUUGUUCGGAAUCACUGGGCUUAAAGGGCGCGUAGGCGGUUCGUACAGUCAGACGUGAAAUUCCUGGGCUCAACCUGGGGGCUGCGUUUGAUACGUGCGGACUUGAGUGCGGAAGAGGGUCGUGGAAUUCCCAGUGUAGAGGCGAAAUUCGUAGAUAUUGGGAAGAACACCGGUGGCGAAGGCGGCGACCUGGUCCGAUACUGACGCUGAGGCGCGAAAGCGUGGGGAGCAAACAGG
rnacentral:rRNA from 1 species